AACACCAUGAUUUGAUGUAGUAAAUGAUGAUGUAAAUAUA
rnacentral:guide_RNA from 1 species